UACGGGGGGGGCUAGCGUUGUUCGGAAUUACUGGGCGUAAAGGGCGCGUAGGCGGUCUGCUAAGUUGGAUGUGAAAACUCUGGGCUUAACCCAGAGCCUGCAUUCAAUACUGACAGGCUAGAGUUCUGGAGGGGAUAGCGGAAUUCCUGGUGUAGCGGUGAAAUGCGCAGAUAUCAGGAGGAACACCAAUGGCGAAGGCAGCACUCUGGGACGGUACUGACGCUGAGACGCGAAAGCGUGGGGAGCAAACAGG
rnacentral:rRNA from 1 species